rnacentral:rRNA from 1 species
UGCCAGACUCCUACGGGAGGCAGCAGUAGGGAAUAUUGCUCAAUGGGGGAAACCCUGAAGCAGCAACGCCGCGUGGAGGAUGAAGGUUUUCGGAUUGUAAACUCCUUUUGUUAGAGAAGAUAAUGACGGUAUCUAACGAAUAAGCCACGGCUAACUACGUGCCAGCAGCCGCGGUAAUACGUAGGUGGCAAGCGUUGUCCGGAUUUACUGGGUGUAAAGGGCGUGCAGCCGGGCUGACAAGUCAGAUGUGAAAUCCCGCGGCUCAACCGCGGAACUGCAUUUGAAACUGUCAGUCUUGAGUACCGGAGAGGUCAUCGGAAUUCCUUGUGUAGCGGUGAAAUGCGUAGAUAUAAGGAAGAACACCAGUGGCGAAGGCGGAUGACUGGACGGCAACUGACGGUGAGGCGCGAAAGCGUGGGGAGCAAACAGGAUUAGAUACCCCGGUA